rnacentral:rRNA from 1 species
UGGGGAAUAUUGCACAAUGGGCGCAAGCCUGAUGCAGCCAUGCCGCGUGUGUGAAGAAGGCCUUCGGGUUGUAAAGCACUUUCAGCGGGGAGGAAGGCGGUGAGGUUAAUAACCUCACCGAUUGACGUUACCCGCAGAAGAAGCACCGGCUAACUCCGUGCCAGCAGCCGCGGUAAUACGGAGGGUGCAAGCGUUAAUCGGAAUUACUGGGCGUAAAGCGCACGCAGGCGGUCUGUCAAGUCGGAUGUGAAAUCCCCGGGCUCAACCUGGGAACUGCAUUCGAAACUGGCAGGCUAGAGUCUUGUAGAGGGGGGUAGAAUUCCAGGUGUAGCGGUGAAAUGCGUAGAGAUGUGGAGGAAUGCCGGUGGCGAAGGCGGCCCCCUGGACAAAGACUGACGCUCAGGUGCGAAAGCGUGGGGAGCAAACAGG